rnacentral:rRNA from 1 species
AUUGAACGCUGGCGGCAGGCCUAACACAUGCAGGUCGAGCGGAUGAAGGGAGCUUGCUCCUGGAUUCAGCGGCGGACGGGUGAGUAAUGCCUAGGAAUCUGCCUGGUAGUGGGGGAUAACGUCCGGAAACGGGCGCUAAUACCGCAUACGUCCUGAGGGAGAAAGUGGGGGAUCUUCGGACCCCACGCUAUCAGAUGAGCCUAGGUCGGAUUAGCUAGUUGGUGGGGUAAAGGCCUACCAAGGCGACGAUCCGUAACUGGUCUGAGAGGAUGAUCAGUCACACUGGAACUGAGACACGGUCCAGACUCCUACGGGAGGCAGCAGUGGGGAAUAUUGGACAAUGGGCGAAAGCCUGAUCCAGCCAUGCCGCGUGUGUGAAGAAGGUCUUCGGAUUGUAAAGCACUUUAAGUUGGGAGGAAGGGCAGUAAGUUAAUACCUUGCUGUUUUGACGUUACCAACAGAAUAAGCACCGGCUAACUUCGUG